AGGCUUGAUUAAAGAGGUCUGGAGAUGGAACAGGAUUAGACACAGCCUUUGAGGAAGCCUGAUACCAGACAUGAGGACUUCUUAUGCAGUCAGGCAUGCAAACUAUGCACAGUCAAUAAGAGAUCAGCCAGAGGCCUGCAAUACCUAUGAGACCUUGCUACAUGAGCACAGCAGAGAUACUGCCAAGCAGACUUUUGAAGCAUAACCGUAGCCCAUAAUUGGAUACAUCUAGAAGAUCCUGAUCAUUGGCCCAAACUCAGGCAUUGGGAAAUUUCAACCAGAGUACUUCCUGGAUACGCCAGGGACAAGUUUUUGCUGGAGUAUCUAUUCUACACUGCACAGUACAUGGCAAGCACUUAGGAUGAAUGGCCUUUUGAAUCUACUGCAUGUGCAAGCUGGGUUAGAGGCAAGUUAACACUUGUUUGAUACUAUCAUAUUUGUUAUCAUCAUCUGGUGUACAGUUAAGAAAGUACCUAAAAUUAUUCUCUAUUAACACCUGGCAUUUUCUGGCAGAGUAAAAUGUUGAAUUUGGCUAUUGUAAGAGCCACA